CGAGAAGAAAAGGUCUUCGCGAGGCGCAAGCUUCGAGGAAAGUCCGGACGUCAAAGAGCAGCGUAGCGGGUAACGCCCGUCCACCGCGAGGUGAGGACAAGUGCAACAGAAAGCAAGUACAGUUCGGCUGUAGUGAAACCAGGUAAACUCUACGCGACGCAAGUCCAAAUAGGCCAAUGUUUGACCCCUGCUCGGGGGAGUUGGCGGGUAGGAUGCUUGAGCGAAUUGGCAACAAUUCGCCUAGAUGAAUGAAGGCCCUCGACAGAAUCCGGCUUAUACUUCUUCUCGGCCC
rnacentral:RNase_P_RNA from 1 species